rnacentral:rRNA from 1 species
CCCUUAGAUGUUCUGGGCCGCACGCGCGCUACACUGAUGAAUUCAACGAGCCUAGCCUUGUCCGAAAGGUCCGGGUAAUCUCUGAAACUUCAUCGUGAUGGGGAUAGAUCAUUACAAUUAUUGAUCUUCAACGAGGAAUUCCUAGUAAGCGCAAGUCAUCAGCUUGCGUUGAUUACGUCCCUGCCCUUUGUACACACCGCCCGUCGCUUGUACCGAUUGGAUGGUCCGGUGAAAUCUUCGGAUAGCUGGUAGUUGGCUUGCCAUCUACUGCUAAAAGUUGCUUAAACCUUAUCAUCUAGAGGAACAAGAANUCGUAACA